AUGAACGCUGGCGGCGUGCCUAAUACAUGCCAGUCGAGCGAACAGACGAGGAGCUUGCUCCUCUGACGUUAGCGGCGGACGGGUGAGUAACACGUGGAUAACCUACCUAUAAGACUGGGAUAACUUCGGGAAACCGGAGCUAAUACCGGAUAAUAUAUUGAACCGCAUGGUUCAAUAGUGAAAGACGGUUUUGCUGUCACUUAUAGAUGGAUCCGCGCCGCAUUAGCUAGUUGGUAAGGUAACGGCUUACCAAGGCAACGAUGCGUAGCCGACCUGAGAGGGUGAUCGGCCACACUGGAACUGAGACGCGGUCCAGACUCCUACGGGAGGCAGCAGUAGGGAAUCUUCCGCAAUGGGCGAAAGCCUGACGGAGCAACGCCGCGUGAGUGAUGAAGGUCUUCGGAUCGUAAAACUCUGUUAUUAGGGAAGAACAAAUGUGUAAGUAACUAUGCACGUCUUGACGGUACCUAAUCAGAAAGCCACGGCUAACUACGU
rnacentral:rRNA from 1 species